rnacentral:rRNA from 1 species
AGAGUUUGAUCCUGGCUCAGAGUGAACGCUGGCGGCAUGCCUAACACAUGCAAGUCGAACGGUAACAGGCCCGCAAGGGUGCUGACGAGUGGCGGACGGGUGAGGAAUACAUCGGAAUUUGCCCAAUCCGUGGGGGAUAACGUAGGGAAACUUACGCUAAUACCGCAUACGACGGUGACGUGAAAGCGGGGGAUCAGCAAUGACCUCGCGCGGAUGGAUAAGCCGAUGUCGGAUUAGCUAGUAGGCGGGGUAAAGGCCCACCAAGGCGACGAUCCGUAGCUGGUCUGAGAGGAUGAUCAGCCACACUCCAACUGAGACACGGCCCAGACUCCUACGGGAGGCAGCAGUGGGGAAUAUUGGACAAUGGGGGCAACCCUGAUCCAGCAAUGCCGCGUGUGUGAAGAAGGCCUUCGGGUUGUAAAGCACUAGUAUCGGG